AAUAUUGGACAAUGGGGGCAACCCUGAUCCAGCCAUGCCGCGUGUGUGAAGAAGGUCUUCGGAUUGUAAAGCACUGUAAGUUGGGAGGAAGGGCUUUAUGCCAGUACCCGGAAGUUGUGACGUUACCAACCGAACAAGCACCGGCCAACGCUGUUCCAGCAGCCGAGGUAAUACUACGGGUGCAAGCGUUAACCGGAAUGACUGGGCGUAAUGCACGCGUAGGUGUACAGUAAGAUGGGUGUGAAAGCCCCGGGCUCAACCUAGGAACUGCUUUAAAAAAUGGCAAGCUAGAGUAUGGCAGAGGGUGGAGGAAUUUCCUGUGUAGCGGUGAAAUGCGUGAGUAUAGGAAGGAACACCAGUGGCGAAGGCGACUACCUGGACUGAUACUGACACUGAGGUGCGAAAGCGUGGGGAGAAAAC
rnacentral:rRNA from 1 species